rnacentral:lncRNA from 1 species
GCACAAAAGUAACUUGAUGGAGUUGAGAUAUAGGAGCAAACAAAUUUCUUUUAGAAAAAAUCUUUUGACCUCUUAACCAUUAUUUAGAACUUGGCGUGGAGAAGUAGUUUUGUGAUUACAAUGAGAAAUAUAUAAAAAUGAUGUGUUAUUUAGAAAUUUAUAUCUUUAUGUCUAUUAAAUUUAAUUUUUUUCUUUCUGAUCAGGGUCUUC